AGNCGAGGGGCAGCACUUCUUCGGAGGUGGCGACCGGCGCACGGGUGCGCUACGCGUAUAGAACUUACCUUUUACAGAGGGAUAGCCUUUAGAAAUGAAGAUUAAUACCUCAUAGCAUUGAGAUUUGGCAUCAAAUUUUAAUUAAAGAUUUAUCGGCAAAAGAUGGCUAUGCGUCCUAUUACCUAGAUGGGGAGGUAACGGCUCACCAUGGCAACAAUAGGUAGGGGUCCUGAGAGGGAAAUCCCCCACCUUGGUCCGGAGACACGGACCAAACUCCUACGGGAGGCAGCUGGGAGGAAUAUUGGGCAAGGGAGGAAACUUUAACCCACCCUUGCCGGGGGGAGGAAUAAGGCCCUUUGGUUUGAAAACUGGCUUUUUAUCCAGGAAAAAACACUCGGACGUGUCCCAAGUUUGACGGUUCUUGUAAGAAAAA
rnacentral:rRNA from 1 species